UCCCUGGCAGUCCAGUGGUGAGGACUCCAUGCUUUCACCACUGAGGGCCAGGGUUCAAUCCCUAGUUGGGGAA
rnacentral:tRNA from 1 species